AACGCAAAUGGCACUGUCGGGUAACCGGCAGUACGUUUCUUUCAGCGUCGUUUCAACAACACUCAGGCUGCGCCUCUUUAAGGCAAAAGCUUGGACAUUGAGUGUCACAAUUCGCAAGGACUGUGUCACUUUAAAACUAGCGGAAAGACAUGUGCUUUAGCACACUGCACCAAUUACUUGGCAGUGACGUGGAUAAUUUCACUAUCUGUGAAUCUUUACGUGACUGUUUCAAAGAACAGUGUAUGUGCGGCUUGGCGCAACAGCUCGUUCCGAUAUUGAGGACUUCAAGUCUUCAACUAAUCUUUCGACUCAGACCUGAAAUGAAGCGAGAAUACCCGCCGAACUUAA
rnacentral:misc_RNA from 1 species